rnacentral:lncRNA from 1 species
AUGCCACCUGGAAUUGGAAAUACCUUUCUGAUAGUAAUGAUGGGAGAAUUCAUAAUCUGAAUGUUAGGGAAUGGGUUCAUUGUACUAGUUAACUGCAUUGACUGGUGAGGAGUCAAAUGAUCUUAUUAGACAACUGCAUCCUCACCAGCCUGGCUAUCUCCACAAUCAGUCAACUUUGGAUAAUACUACUUGAUUCAUUUGUAACAGCAUUAUGGCCACAUCUAUAUGCCUUCAAUAAACUAAUAAAAUUUAUUCAUAUUUUUUGGGCACUGACCAAUCACUUAGUUACCUGGCUUGCUGCCUUAGUGUUUUCUACUUCUUUAAAAUACCUAUUUUUCCCACCCAUGCUUCAUCUGGCUGAGAUGGAGAAUUAGCAGAACGCUACUUGAACUCCCACUGGGGUCCUUGCUCUUACUGUUUUUCAACCUUGCAUUAACAGGUGGACUUAGUGACUUGUGGAUUAACAUCUACACAAUUUAUGAAAGAAACUCAACUUGGUCUUUAGAUGUAAGUAAAAUUCUAUAUUGUAGCCUCUGGAUUCUUGUCAGUUUGAUCUACUUAAUUUCCUUUCUUCUGUCCCUGAUCUCACUGCUCCUUUUAAUUCUGUCCUUGAUGAGACAUAUCAGGAAUUUGCAGCUCAACACCAUGGGCCCGAGGGACCUCAGAAUGAAGGCCCAUAAGAGGGCCAUGAAAAUGAAAAUGAAAAUGAUGGUGUCUUUUCUCCUCUUCUUUUUGGUUCACUUUUCUUCUCUCCUACCAACAGGUUGGAUUUUCCUUAUACAGCAGAAA